rnacentral:rRNA from 1 species
ACGAGUUUGAUCAUGGCUCAGGAUGAACGCUAGCGGCAGGCCUAACACAUGCAAGUCGAGGGGUAUAGUUCUUCGGAACUAGAGACCGGCGCACGGGUGCGUAACGCGUAUGCAAUCUACCUUUUACAGGGGAAUAGCCCAGAGAAAUUUGGAUUAAUGCCCCAUAGUGUUAUAGAAUCGCAUGGUUUUAUAACUAAAGUUCCAACGGUAAAAGAUGAGCAUGCGUCCCAUUAGUUAGUUGGUAAGGUAACGGCUUACCAAGACAAUGAUGGGUAGGGGUCCUGAGAGGGAGAUCCCCCACACUGGUACUGAGACACGGACCAGACUCCUACGGGAGGCAGCAGUGAGGAAUAUUGGACAAUGGGCGCAAGCCUGAUCCAGCCAUGCCGCGUGCAGGAAGACGGUCCUAUGGAUUGUAAACUGCUUUUGUACAGGAAGAAACACUCCCUCGUGAGGGAGCUUGACGGUACUGUAAGAAUAAGGAUCGGCUAACUCCGUG